UACAGCCACAAACAUGCAUUGCCUGUCAAUAUUGCUGAUUCUGGUAGCUGCACCCUGUCUUGAUUGUAUUGAGCUGGAUCAACCUGCAGUCAUGGUAGUAAAACCUGGAGAAUCGUUUUCCAUUGCCUGUAAGAUUACUGGAUAUUCAGCCUCAGGUGGUGGCUACACAAACUGGAUACGACGUUCAAGUGGAAAAGCACUGGAAUGGAUUGGAUGGUUCCUUAGUUCCAGUAGCAAUGGUGUCAUAGAUUCACUGAAAAACAAGAUCAGUUUCACUGCUGAAUCCUCCAGCAACACAGUUUUUUUAAAAGGAAAAGACUUUAACACUGAGGACACAGCUGUGUAUUACUGUGCUCGUGAUACACUGUGA